GCCGGCUUAGCUCAGUUGGUAGAGCAGCGGUUUUGUAAACCGAAGGUCGGGGGUUCAAGUCCCUCAGCCGGCACCA
rnacentral:tRNA from 1 species